GGGGUUUGCAGGUUUCUCUUUUGAAAUUAGCUCCCCUGAAAUAUAUUAGCUGGUUGCCUUGUGUAAACCUGUCUAUUGGUGUGAUAAUUAUCUACGCGUGGACUGUUUGCCGUUUUUAGCACUGCUUCUAACCGUCUGUUCAUUCGGACAAUAUAUGACAAUUUGACCUCAAAUCAGGUAGGACUACCCGCUGAACUUAA
rnacentral:misc_RNA from 1 species